rnacentral:rRNA from 1 species
GACGAACGCUGGCGGCGCGCCUAACACAUGCAAGUCGAACGGAGUGCUUGGUUAGAACCCUUCGGGGGAACGACUGAGUUACUUAGUGGCGGACGGGUGAGUAACGCGUGAGUAACCUGCCUUUCUGAGGGGGAUAACGUUUGGAAACGAACGCUAAUACCGCAUAACAUCAUUUCAUCGCAUGGUGAGAUGAUCAAAGGAGCAAUCCGCAGAGAGAUGGACUCGCGUCUGAUUAGCUAGUUGGAGGGGUAACGGCCCACCAAGGCAACGAUCAGUAGCCGGACUGAGAGGUUGAACGGCCACAUUGGGACUGAGACACGGCCCAGACUCCUACGGGGGGCAGCAGUGGGGAAUAUUGGGCAAUGGGCGAAAGCCUGACCCAGCGACGCCGCGUGGAGGAAGAAGGUUUUCGGAUUGUAAACUCCUGUCUUCGGGGAAGAUAAUGACGGUACCCGAGGAGGAAGCCACGGCUAACUACGUGCCAGCCGCCGC